GGCAACAGCUACAUAGGUGGGAAAAGUUGGGAUAAGCUAAGAUGCUGGAGAAAGCACAAAGAAGGAGAGAGGAAGUAGUAAUUAGAGAGGUAGAAACCAAAGAGAAUGUGCUGAAGAGAUUGAUGUUUCUCAGAUCCCGGGAGGUACACCGGCUCUGCUUGAUACCUUCAGAAGAAGAGACUUACUCUCUGUAAAGAUCUUCUUAUGGAUGUCAUGGUGAAGGAGAAGGGAUUUAUUUGAAAAGGAUUCUUAGUCUGCUGAGGAGUCAAUUCUGAAUCACACAGGAGGCUGACAGGCAGGGUGUAAAUUCCUGGUCCACCUCACAAAUGGAUAAGAUACCACUGAUCCCCCAACACCCAGUGUUCCACUCACUGAAGUGACCUCCAUUGGCUUCUGUUUUCAAAGUAAAACAAGUAUGGAUAUUCUGCAGUGAUGAAUCCAUAAAAUCCAAUUUUGUCCCUAUUGGUACUUAUUUUGAUGUAUUUCAGUUAAAAUUAAUGGACCUAAUAUGGAAUUACAUUUUUGAAAAUUGGAGGAAAAAUUGGCCAUGUUUUUAUUGCAUAGGGGUGGAGAGAGGCUCAAUAUUUUGUAUCAACAGGAAAAGAAUCUCCAAAGGCACAAAAUAAAAAGGAAUAGUCUAUGAAUGUUUAUCAAUCAUUCUAUUCUGCUGUAAUGAAAAGUGACAAAGCCCUGAGUGGUUUUUUGUAUUUUGUAUUAACUGAUCGAUAAGGGAAACAGUAUUUUAAUAGGUGGAUUUCUCUGUUAUGUUUAUGGAGGUAGUGGCUUUUGACUGGACUUUCCAUUCUAAAUCCUUCUAGUGUUUUUUGAAGCAUUCAUACGCAUCUAACUUAUGUCUUGUAAUCAGCUUGUGAAGAAUCAGUCAUUUUAUGCUAGUGUCAAGAAGUGUCACGGAAACACAGAUGUGAAGACAACAUUGCUAAACGAAUUAAGGUUUCAGUGUCAUGUAUGAUGGAGAUCUGUAUGGCUAAGCUAAAACAGUGGGAAUUUCAUUAUACUUAAUCAUUAGAUAGAUUUGUUUCAAAUAUAAAUAGAAAUGGGCAAUAUUUUCAAACAACUGUAUGAGUUCAGACUGAUCUGCAUUAUGUGAGUCCUCGGACGACGCAUUUAUUUGUACUGAUUCAAGGGACCACUAAAAUGUACACUUCUCAAUCCCAUACGCAGUACUGUUAUUUUCUGAUUGUUUUUCUGUUUUUAAAAUGAAAACAACAAUUCUGUGCAUUUAAGUUAAGUGACGGAAGUAAGGAAAAAGUGACGAAAGGUAACUGAGAUCUAUGAAAAUAAACUGUAAGAAAUGUCCUUUCAGAUGUAGCUGUAGAACAGAACAGAUGAAAUCUAUUAAUAUAAGAAUCAAUCUGAAAUUCAAAUUGGU